UACGAAGGGGACUAGCGUUGUUCGGAAUCACUGGGCGUAAAGGGUGCGUAGGCGGGUCUUUUAAGUCAGGGGGUGAAAUCCUGGAGCUCAACUCCAGAACUGCCUUUGAUACUGAGGAUCUUGAGUUCGGGAGAGGUGAGUGGAACUGCGAGUGUAGAGGUGAAAUUCGUAGAUAUUCGCAAGAACACCAGUGGCGAAGGCGGCUCACUGGCCCGGUACUGACGCUGAGGUGCGAAAGCGUGGGGAGCAAACAGG
rnacentral:rRNA from 1 species